UCGCAAUGCCCGAAAGGGUGACGAAGCGACGCCGCGUGUGGGAAGAAGGCCUUCGGGUUGUAAACCACUGUCGGGAGUUAAGAAAUGCAAGAAUGUUAAUAGCGUUUUUGCUUGACUAAGGCUCCGGAGGAAGCCAAGGCUAACUCUGUGCCAGCAGCCGCGGUAAUACAGAGGCGGCAAGCGUUGUUCGGAAUUAUUGGGCGUAAAGAGCACGUAGGCGGCUAUAUAAGUCGGUUGUGAAAGCCUUCCGCUCAACGGGAGAACAGCAUCCGAUACUGUGUGGCUUGAGUGUGGGAGGGGAGAGCGGAACUUCUGGUGGAGCGGUGAAAUGCGUAGAUAUCAGAAGGAACGCCGGCGGCGAAAGCGGCUCUCUGGCCCAUAACUGACGCUGAGUGUGCGAAAGCUAGGGGAGCAAACGGGAUUAGAUACCCCGGUAGUCCUAGCCGUAAACGAUGGGCACUAAGUAGAGGGGUUUU
rnacentral:rRNA from 1 species